rnacentral:rRNA from 1 species
GUUGUAUGGUUAAGUGACUAAGCGUACACGGUGGAUGCCUUGGCAGUUGGAGGCGAUGAAGGACGUAUUAACUUGCGAUAAGCCUAGUCAAGCUAGUAAAAAGCACUUGAGACUAGGAUUUCCGAAUGGGGAAACCCACC